UACGGAGGGUGCAAGCGUUGUCCGGAAUUAUCGGGCGUAAAGAGCUCGUAGGCGGUUUGUCGCGUCUGCUGUGAAAACGCGAGGCUUAACCUCGCGCCUGCAGUGGGUACGGGCAGACUAGAGUGCGGUAGGGGAGACUGGAAUUCCUGGUGUAGCGGUGAAAUGCGCAGAUAUCAGGAGGAACACCGAUGGCGAAGGCAGGUCUCUGGGCUGUUACUGACACUGAGGUGCGAAAGCGUGGGUAGCAAACAGG
rnacentral:misc_RNA from 1 species